CGUCCAGGAGGUGAGGGGCGCCUCUGCCCGGCCGCCCCUACUGGGAAGUGAGGAGUCCCUCUGCCCGGCCAGCCGCCCCGUCCGGGAGGGAGGUGGGGGGGUCAGCCCCCCGCCCGGCCAGCCGCCCAGUCCGGGAGGGAGGUGGGGGGGGUCAGCCCCCCGCCCGGCCAGCCGCCCAGUCCGGGAGGGAGGUGGGGGGGUCAGCCCCCUGCCCGGCCAGCCGCCCCGUCCGGGAGGGAGGUGGGGGGGUCAGCCCCCCGCCCGGCCAGCCGUCCCGUCCGGGAGGUGAGGGGCGCCUCUGCCCGGCCGCCCCUACUGGGAAGUGAGGAGCCCCUCUGCCCGGCCACCACCCCGUCUGGGAGGUGUGCCCAGCAGCUCAUUGAGAACGGCCAGGAUGACAAUGGCGGCUUUGUGGAAUAGAAAGGGGGGAAAGGUGGGGAAAAGAUUGAGAAGUCGGAUGGUUGCCGUGUCUGUGUAGAAGUAGACAUGGGAGACUUUUCAUUUUGUUCUGUACUAAGAAAAAUUCUUCUGCCUUGGGAUCCUGUUGAUCUGUGACCUUACCCCCAACCCUGUGCUCUCUGAAACAUGUGCUGUGUCCACUCAGAGUUAAAUGGAUGAAGGGCGGUGCAAGAUGUGCUUUGUUAAACAGAUGCUUGAAGGCAGCAUGCUCAUUAAGAGUCAUCACCACUCCCUAAUCUCAAGUACCCAGGGACACAAACGCUGCGGAAGGCCGCAGGGUCCUCUGCCUAGGAAAACCAAAGACCUUUGUUCACUUGUUUAUCUGCUGACCUUCCCUCCACUAUUGUCCUAUGACCCUGCCAAAUCCCCCUCUGUGAGAAACACCCAAGAAUGAUCAAUAAAAAACAAAACAAAACAAAACAAAAACAAAAAAACAAAAAAAAGAAAAAAGAAAAAAAUGCACUUCAAGUUAUGCCCUUCCAAAUUUUUUCCUAUGCAUUUAUAUAUGUGUGUGCAUGCAAAGAGAUACAGUUUUGCUCUGUAUUUCAAAAAUUCACUUAGAGGAAUAGUUUAAUUUCUAAGGUAAACUUUAUUUGAAAAAAGGGCCCGCAGUAUUUUACUUUAACCAGAUACUGAGACUGAGUUUCACGGGAUGUGAGGAAAUGCCAGAAUCAGGGCUUGAUCAUGCUUAUUGUAGAUGGCCCUUUCCCCUCAGAAAUGGGAGAGAAAUUCGACUGUAGGAAGAGAAAUGGAAGGAUGAUCAGAAGUGCCUCUGCUUUUGAUGGUUCAAAAGAAUGUACCAACCAGACAAUGAUCGGUAAAGAAGAUAUGCUGAACAAGUUGUGUAACAGUCUAGUACGGUUUGGUAUAGUGUUGGGUAAGAAGUGUUACUUGUUUAAGGUAUUGAGUCCCAUUUUGGCUGGUGUUUUUAGUCUUUUUUAAAAUGUUUCGUCUUAUUGGCAAGCUUCUCUCUCUUUCUUGCAACACUUGAGAGUUUCUUGAGUUCUCAGCGGCUACCUUUGGCAUCUACUGCUAGGUUUGGGAAAAUUUAUGUAAACUAUCUCCAAGGAUUUCAAUUCUUUUUUUUCUUUUUUUUUCUUUUUUGAGAUGGAGUCUUCCUUAGUCGCACAGGCUGGAGUGCAGUGGCGCGAUCUCGGCUCACUGCAACCUGAGCCUCCUGGUUCAAGUGAUUCUCCUGCCUCAGCCUCCCAGUAGCUGGGCUUACAGGUGCCUGCCACCACGCCCGGCUAAUUUUUUUGAAUUUUUAGUAGAGAUGGGGUUUCACAACGUUGGCCAGGCUAGUCUCGAACCCCUGACCUCAAAUGAUUAACCCACCUCGGCCUCCCAAAGUGCUGGGAUUACAGGCGUGAACCACCAAGCCCCGCCAGGAUUUCAGUUCUUUGGAAAGGCUUAGCAGUGCUUUCCUUGGUACCUUGCUAGCUUUUUCUUCUUCUUCUUCUUCUUCUUCUUUUUUUUUUUUUUUUUGAGACAAAGUCUCACUCUGUCGCCCAGGCUGGAGUGCAGUGGCGUGAUCUCGGCUC
rnacentral:lncRNA from 1 species